CGGGUCAGGCCCACCGGCAAGGCGCCGGUAGAUUUCUUAAUCUGCUCGUUAUGGUUCUCCAAGUAUUUUCAGAGAAUAAAACUGGCUGAAGAUGGUGCGUGCAGCUUGCCUCUGAACUUGUGAUGUCCGGCCAUUGCAUCUGGGAGGAGCUCCUCUUCAGGAAGAAUGCCGACACGUACGACACUGCUGCGACUGCCAUUCUCGUCCGCGUUUUGACUACACUUGCAGGUUGGCUCUCUACUUUAGUUGCUCGCAGCUAGCAACUCUGAACGCACUUCAUCCCGUGUUAAUUAACUUUCAGAAUUGUGCUGCUUUGUUUAUAAAUGAUGCUGGCCAUAUUAUAUGUCUUUGUCUGAAGUGAUUCUCCAUUGCCUUUGCAGAGUAGCAUUGAUGUUCUUUAGAAGUACCCUGUGGCCGAGUGUGACAUUUGGUUUAUCAAAUUCUAAUGUGAUUUUCACUUCAAUCAAUUAGCAAUAGGUAACACUUGAUAUUGACACUAUUAUCUGCAAAAUUGUUUUUGUAAGAUACUUAUGUGAUUGCCAACAAGUUUCUGAAGAUGACCGUGCUCAUGAUUAAUUGUUUGCUCAUAAACCAAAUCAUCUAUAUGCACCUGAUCAGGGUUAGAUGAAAUUCAAAGAGUAUAAUUCUUGUGGUUAAUCGUUUUCUCGUAAACAGGCAACUGCGAAGGCAAAAUCUACAUGUGAGAAGUGCAGAUGAGCCCAGUUGUGCUAAUUACCCGGUAAGUUCAACUAAGCAAGUUCAGCUAUUCCCAAUUUCUCCUCUGCAUGUGGUGGUGGUGCUAGCUACUAACUUCUAUGUUCCUGCAUGUACACUCUCAUAAUUUCCAGGCUGAGUAGUCCGCAACGCAAAUCUUAUGCUUUCUCAUCUUCCCUUGUAAAUUGCCUAAACAUUGAUGAUUGUAAUCCAGCUCUUGAUUAAUGACUGAAUCCCCUGAUUUGAUCCAUAAAAAAAAGACAUGACGCCAUCUUAUUUCUUGAAAAUGUAAAUGCCUAUCUAGAUUCUUUUAGAACAAUUUUUUUACUCGUAUGUCUAGGUUGUGAGUUGUGACUGAGUGUGAUUUGAAUAAUUGUUGUGUAGAAUUUUAGAUUUCUAUAUUUGUUCUUUGACAUAUGAGAGUUACAUUGUGGGAGUAAAUAGGUCAUAGAACAUUGAUUUGAUUUAUCUUCUGACAAUAAGCAUUGUCCUGUAACAAACGUUCAGUAAUGGCAUAAUCGGAUCACAUGCUGUAGAUGUAUGCCUAAAGUAUACAUAUGCUCUUUUUUUUUGACCGAAGCAAUACUGUCUAGCUUCUUGAGAAAGCUAAAAGUCUGAUUACAAAAACAAGCAAAGAUGAGGCUGGGUGUCGAAAUAGUACAGAUCCUGCAGAAGUUCAAAUAUGUACUAUGAGGGUAUUUGUGUGUAGCAAAGUAGGGUGAACAUUGCAUGGCAUGCCUUCAGUCCUUGGUAGUCAGCUAACGUACAUAGUAUCCUUAAAGUUUCUUCAAGUUGAGAAAUGAUCAAACUUAAUAGCAGACAUCCAUUGUGAUAAUCUAUUAUUAUAUUUUACUUAUUUGCCGGCUUAAUACAGCUACACUGUUGAUCUUUACUCCGAUUUAUCUUGUAGUAACUCCUAACACUCAAUUCCUAACACUCGCUUAUUUGCCGGCUUGAUACAGCUGCACUGUUGAUCUUUACUCCCAUAAAAAAGUCAAUUGGUGGUGGCAGUCUGUCCACUUUCGCUACAACACAUGUUAUAUUUGGCACAAACUAUUAAGAUGAGAGCCGAUAUGGAUAUUUUGAUUUUGCAUAAACCGCGGAAAGAUCUUACAACAUAGUUUUAAAAUUCCAUUUUAAUGAAUGAGUAUUGUGCUUGUAUGGGUGGCAUCAUACUGUAUUUCACAGUGCUGAAAAUCAAAUGUACAAUGUUUUCACAUAAUCACAUGUAUUUAAACAAUCUGUGUGAUAUGUGUCAUUGUCAUCCUUUGCAGUAUUCUGAAUUGGCUGCUGAAGUACUGUUAUGUCGCUGCUAGAAGGAGGGCGCGAGAGGGCCGGCAUGGGGCCUUUUUGCCCACGGCCGGGCAAGAGGGAAGGAAUUUCCUUCUUAAUUCUUGCUUGAUUAGAUUGAUACAUCUUCUCUCUUUAUAUAGAGAGGUUUACUUGAUUCCCAAGCAAGUCUUUACUUGAC
rnacentral:lncRNA from 1 species